AUUGAACGCUGGCGGCAGGCCUAACACAUGCAAGUCGAGCGGGGUUUUCGGACCUAGCGGCGGACGGGUGAGUAAUGCGUAGGAAGCUACCCGAUAGAGGGGGAUACCAGUUGGAAACGACUGUUAAUACCGCAUAAUGUCUACGGACCAAAGUGUGGGACCUUCGGGCCACAUGCUAUCGGAUGCGCCUACGUGGGAUUAGCUAGUUGGUGAGGUAAUGGCUCACCAAGGCGACGAUCUCUAGCUGGUUUGAGAGGAUGAUCAGCCACACUGGAACUGAGACACGGUCCAGACUCCUACGGGAGGCAGCAGUGGGGAAUAUUGGACAAUGGGCGCAAGCCUGAUCCAGCCAUGCCGCGUGUGUGAAGAAGGCCUUCGGGUUGUAAAGCACUUUCAGCGAGGAGGAAGGGUUGUGUGUUAAUAGUACACAGCUUUGACGUUACUCGCAGAAGAAGCACCGGCUAACUCUGUGCCAGCCGCCGCCGUAA
rnacentral:rRNA from 1 species